rnacentral:rRNA from 1 species
UACGUAGGGGGCUAGCGUUGUCCGGAAUCAUUGGGCGUAAAGCGCGUGUAGGCGGCCCGGUAAGUCCGCUGUGAAAGUCCAGGGCUCAACCCUGGGAUGCCGGUGGAUACUGUCGGGCUCGAGUCCGGAAGAGGCGAGUGGAAUUCCUGGUGUAGCGGUGAAAUGCGCAGAUAUCGGGAGGAACACCAGCGGCGAAGGCGGCUUUCUGGACCAAUACUGACGCUGAGACGCGAAAGCGUGGGGAGCGAACAGG